rnacentral:rRNA from 1 species
UACGAAGGGGGCUAGCGUUGCUCGGAGUCACUGGGCGUAAAGGGUGCGUAGGCGGGUCCUUAAGUCAGGGGUGAAAUCCUGGAGCUCAACUCCAGAACUGCCUUUGAUACUGAAGAUCUUGAGUUCGGGAGAGGUGAGUGGAACUGCGAGUGUAGAGGUGAAAUUCGUAGAUAUUCGCAAGAACACCAGUGGCGAAGGCGGCUCACUGGCCCGAUACUGACGCUGAGGCACGAAAGCGUGGGGAGCAAACAGG